CCAGACUCCUACGGGAGGCAGCAGUGGGGAAUAUUGGGCAAUGGGCGCAAGCCUGACCCAGCAACGCCGCGUGAAGGAAGAAGGCUUUCGGGUUGUAAACUUCUUUUCUGAGGGACGAAGAAAGUGACGGUACCUCAGGAAUAAGCCACGGCUAACUACGUGCCAGCAGCCGCGGUAAUACGUAGGUGGCAAGCGUUAUCCGGAUUUAUUGGGUGUAAAGGGCGUGUAGGCGGGAAUGCAAGUCAGAUGUGAAAACUAUGGGCUCAGCCCAUAGCCUGCAUUUGAAACUGUAUUUCUUGAGUGCUGGAGAGGCAAUCGGAAUUCCGUGUGUAGCGGUGAAAUGCGUAGAUAUCAGGAGGAACACCGGUGGCGAAGGCGGCCUGCUGGACUGC
rnacentral:rRNA from 1 species